UUUUGUAAAUUAAUUUAAGGUCUUACCUGCCCACUGAUAAAUUAAAUGGCCGCAGUAUAUUGACUGUGCUAAGGUAGCAUAAUCAUUAGUUUCUUAAUUAGAAGCUGGAAUGAAGGGUUUGAUGAGAAAAUUACUGUCUCUUAAUAAUUAAAUUAAAAUUUUAUUUUUAAGUUAAAAAGCUUAAAUAAAUUUAAAAGACGAGAAGACCCUAUAGAGUUUAAUUAUAAUUAAAAUUUAUUUUUUUAGAAUUGAUUUUGUAGAUUUUAAUUAUAAUUUGAUUGGGGUGAUUAAAAAAUUUAAUAAACUUUUUUUUAUUAGUAAUAUAAAUUUAUAAAUAUUUGAUCCAUAAAAAUGAUUAAAAGAUUAAAUUACCUUAGGGAUAACAGCGUAAUUUUAUUGGAGAGUUCAAAUCGAUAAUAAAGGUUGCGACCUCGAUGUUGGAUUAAAA
rnacentral:rRNA from 1 species